CCUACGGGUGGCAGCAGUGGGGAAUAUUGGGCAAUGGGCGCAAGCCUGACCCAGCAACGCCGCGUGAAGGAAGAAGGCUUUCGGGUUGUAAACUUCUUUUCUCAGGGACGAAGAAAGUGACGGUACCUGAGGAAUAAGCCACGGCUAACUACGUGCCAGCAGCCGCGGUAAUACGUAGGUGGCAAGCGUUAUCCGGAUUUACUGGGUGUAAAGGGCGUGUAGCCGGGUUGACAAGUCAGAUGUGAAAUCCUGCGGCUUAACCGCAGAACUGCAUUUGAAACUGUUGAUCUUGAGUACUGGAGAGGCAGACGGAAUUCCUAGUGUAGCGGUGAAAUGCGUAGAUAUCAGGAGGAACACCGGUGGCGAAGGCGGCCUGCUGGACUGCAACUGACGUUGAGGCCCGAAAGCGUGGGGAGCAAACAGGAUUAGAUACCCCUGUAGUC
rnacentral:rRNA from 1 species